UUGAUCUGGAUGUUCUCCAGUAUCACAGAAUUUUACUUUGUUACUGUUUUUAAAGAUCUGGUGAUGCCCUACAGUAUUCUAUUUUCUUGUAAGAAUUAAUUCUUCAGCAUGAGCAACAGAAGGUCUUUACAACUUAGACGCAGAUUUUUUUUAAUCCCCUUCUUAGGGUUUAUCUAAUAAUGAAAAACAAUCUAGUAUUUUUAAUAAAAUAGUUUAUUUUCAUUAAAAGCUUAGACAGAAGUGUCUUAGAAUUUGCCAUCCGCUGAAGGUGGCACCAGUGUGAGAUAAUGGUGUUUGAAAGCUCAUAAUAGAAAUAUGUCGAAAUAUUAUUUACAUUGCUAUGAAAACAUACAUUUAUGAAGAUUUGUCAUCUAAACUUCACAAACUUCACUUCCAUCAACAAAAAGAAUUCCCAAUGAUGAAAUCAUAUCACAUCAAAGCAGCAAUACGAACCAUUUACACACACUCCUCCCCUUGCUCCUGUACUGCUUUAAGAUGACACAAAUUUCCCACAAGUGUUACAUCUUCAUUAUAAAUCUACUUGCUCUGCUGAGAUGCCAUGUUAGAAGGCAAUGGUAAGAAUUCUGAAGAUAAAGAGAGGAAAACAGAAAUGUAUCACAAAAGAGUAAACAUUUUGUUCAUAGCUGUACAAAUGUGUCUUGUAAACACUGGGUGUAAUAAGUAAGGCACGCAAUAUUUUCCACUCACAACAUGUUACCAUGCUAUAAAACAUGCAUAUGUUUUUCAAAAUGGAAGCAGUCCAUUUCAAAAUAUGCUGCUGACUAAAUAUUUGCAGAUAAUCCUGUAUUUUUGGAGUUAGUUGUCUGAUCUCUUCAAUAGGCAUCUAAGCAGUGUCAUCCCACAAUAGAUGCAUAGCAUGCAAUCAGCCUUAUAUUCACAGUGGGAUACUUCUGCUAAUUGCAACAGUUGUAGCUCAGAAUAAGGUAGCGGCUUCUCAGUGAGAUCUAAACAAAUUAAGGUUAAAUUUAAAUUAAUCAAUUGGGGGAAAAAAACAACCCUGUCACUUUUAUAGUUCAUUAGCUAUUAACACUAAUAGCAGUGUAAAGAAGCUGCCAAUUUUCUGGUUAUAUAUUGUAUAGGCUAUUAUCCAGUAAAAGGGAAUAGGCUUCAAAUGUGACUCAAUGGCCUAAGAAUCUAACUCAGUUCUUCUCUGUGCUUUCCAGGGCCAGAUUCUGUGGUGUGCAGACUUUGUGAUGGGCGCAGCCAAGACUGAGAUUUGUGGGAUCCCUGUGAGGAAGCAGCACGUCCCGUGCCCUGCCUCUUGAAUCUCUAAGGAUUUUGCUGUGAGGAAAUAGGUCAGUUCUGCUGGACUAUAUGGACCCUAGAGAAAAGAAAGACAGCAAAGAAGAAAUUCCCAAGACAAAUAUGUCACUCCUUAAAGAAGCA